rnacentral:rRNA from 1 species
ACGUACGCUGGCGGCACGCCUAACACAUGCAAGUCGAACGAAGUAGCAAUACUUAGUGGCAGACGGGUGAGUAACAUGUGGGUAUCUACCCUUUGGCCUGGAAUAACACGAGGAAACUUGUGCUAAUACCGGAUAAGUCUUUACGGAGAAAGCUUUAUGCACCAUUGGAUGAGCCCGCACUUGAUUAGUUUGUUGGUGAGGUAAAGGCUCACCAAGGCGACGAUCUUUAGCUGGUCUGAGAGGACGAUCAGCCACAUUGGGACUGAGACACGGCCCAGACUCCUACGGGAGGCAGCAGUGGGGAAUAUUGG